CCCUUAGAUGUUCUGGGCCGCACGCGCGCUACACUGAAGGGAUCAGCGUGUUUUCCCUUUCCGGGAGGAACGGGUAACCCGCUGAACCCCCUUCGUGGUAGGGAUCGGAGCUUGCAAUUGUUCUCCGUGAACCAGGAAUUCCCAGUAAGCGCAAGUCAUAAGCUUGCGUUGAUUACGUCCCUGCCCUUUGUACACACCGCCCGUCGCUACUACCGAUUGAACGUUUUAGUGAGGUAUUUGGACUGGGCCUUGGGAGGUUUCGGCCUCCCUUGUUGCUCGGAAAGACUCCCAAACUUGAGCGUUUAGAGGAAGUAAAAGUCGUAACA
rnacentral:rRNA from 1 species